rnacentral:lncRNA from 1 species
UCUGCUGUUUGUAGUCUCACAUUGGAUCUGGAACGUUUCUUCUUUCCCUCAGGGGGAGGUAGAGAUGUGCGGGCCAUGCGAGAUUGCAACGUGUUGGAAAGAACAUGGCAGUGACCGUGGGAAUGCCAGAUGCCAGGCGAUGAGCAACAUCCCUGAAAAGAGUGCUGUUAGAGAAACGGGAUGAGUUAAUUUCCAGGCUCCAUUUUACAAAUUGGCACCUCUUCCGUUUGCCUUCGCCCAAAACCCUGAACAACCAAGCACCACCUCCCAUACAGAGCAGGAUGACAAAAGAAAGCCUUCAUGUGUAUGGCCUUUUGAAGGAUGAGUUCACUGAAGCCCCCUGUGAUGCCGCAGUCUCCAUCAGCCUACACAACAGGCAGCCUCGCAAGAUUCCUGGCUCCCUGCCUUUCCCGGGCAAGCUGUCAUUGAGCCAGUGGGAAAAUUACCUCCUGGGUGGCACGAUCUCUGGAUUGCCACAGAAUGCUUACCCGCUCCGUUGCCACGGACUCUCGUCCCUUCUCUGCCCUCUGCAGUCCUCCUUCUCUCGGUGA